GACGAACGCUGGCGGCGUGCUUAACACAUGCAAGUCGAACGGAAAGGCCCUGCUUUUGUGGGUGCUCGAGUGGCGAACGGGUGAGUAACACGUGAGUAACCUGCCCUUGACUUUGGGAUAACUUCAGGAAACUGGGGCUAAUACCGGAUAGGAGCUCCUGCUGCAUGGUGGGGGUUGGAAAGUUUCGGCGGUUGGGGAUGGACUCGCGGCUUAUCAGCUUGUUGGUGGGGUAGUGGCUUACCAAGGCUUUGACGGGUAGCCGGCCUGAGAGGGUGACCGGCCACAUUGGGACUGAGAUACGGCCCAGACUCCUACGGGAGGCAGCAGUGGGGAAUAUUGCACAAUGGGCGGAAGCCUGAUGCAGCAACGCCGCGUGCGGGAUGACGGCCUUCGGGUUGUAAACCGCUUUCGCCUGUGACGAGGCGUGAGUGACGGUAAUGGGUAAAGAAGCACCGGCUAACUACGUG
rnacentral:rRNA from 1 species